GCCUCCUAGAGCAAAAUAGACAUCAGGAGGCUUAGAACAUUAGACUCUUAAUCUCAGGGUUGUGGGUUCAAGCCCCACGUUGGGCA